GAUGAAGAACGCAGCGAAAUGCGAUAAGUAAUGUGAAUUGCAGAAUUCAGUGAAUCAUCGAAUCUUUGAACGCACAUUGCGCCCGUCAGUAUUCUGGCGGGCAUGCCUGUUCGAGCGUCAUUUCAACCCUCGACCUCCCUUUGGGGAAGUCGGCGUUGGGGACCGGCAGCACACCGCCGGCCCUGAAAUGGAGUGGCGGCCCGUCCGCGGCGACCUCUGCGUAGUAAACCAACUCGCACCGGAACCCCGACGUGGCCACGCCGUAAAACACCCAACUUCUGAACGUUGACCUCGAAUCAGGUAGGACUACCCGCUGAACUUAAGCAUAUCAAUAAGCGGAGGA
rnacentral:misc_RNA from 1 species